CUUGACACUGCCACCUGCAGGAGCGCAGCGACCACUGCGAAGGUCUUCAUCCUGGAAUUCACACGUUGAAUCGUUUUCUCUUGAGAUUAUUACUGGCGAAACUCUCAUUGUUAAAUUGGAAUGGCGGAAAGAUCCAGAUAACGCAAAAAAGUUCGUCAACCUUUAACGUUGGAAAAAAUGAAUAUUUUUCGACAAGUCGAACGCAACGAAAAUAUGCAACAGCGGUAUUGAAAAAGAGAAACUGUAAAAAUCGUCGAUUCAAAAGCGAUUCGUCGCUUGAUUAAUAUGCCGAACGCAUUCGAACCCCGUGUUAUCCUGAGCACAAUAAGCCAACGGUCUUGUUCCUCGGAUUUUCACACCUGCGAUUGCUGGACGUCGAAGUCGUUACCAAGGACUUCAGGAUCUUCUCAUAUCCUUCGAAAGCGUGGCAGUUGGAAUCUCGCGUCGUGAUCGAAAGGCGAAUUGUCUCGAGGGUGAAAAAUUUGGG